GUGGGGAAUAUUGGACAAUGGGCGCAAGCCUGAUCCAGCCAUGCCGCGUGUGUGAAGAAGGCCUUCGGGUUGUAAAGCACUUUUGUUGGGAAAGAAAUCCUGUCGGCUAAUACCCGGCGGGGAUGACGGUACCCAAAGAAUAAGCACCGGCUAACUUCGUGCCAGCAGCCGCGGUAAUACGAAGGGUGCAAGCGUUACUCGGAAUUACUGGGCGUAACGCGUGCGUAGGUGGUUCGUUAAGUCAGGUGUGAAAGCCCCGGGCUCAGCCUGGUAAUUGCAUUUGAUACUGGCGGACUAGAGUGCGGUAGAGGGGAGUGGAAUUCCCGGUGUAGCAGUGAAAUGCGUAGAGAUCGGGAGGAACAUCAGUUGCGAAGGCGGCUCUCUGGACCAGCACUGACACUGAGGCACGAAAGCGUGGGGAGCAAACAGGAUUAGAAACCCCUGUAGUCC
rnacentral:rRNA from 1 species